CAUCUCGGCGUCUCUCUCUCCCCCCUAACACGCACACACAGAAAUCAGCACACCUAAUCCUCCCCGCUCUCUCUCACAGCCGCCUCCUCCUUUAAUCCGGCAGCUACGGCCGCCGUCGACCACCUCCAUCUCCUUCCGGCACCGCGUCUCACUCUCUCCUCUCUCUGUUCCCCCCCAUUUUGCCUCUCUCUCUCUCUCUCUCUCUCUCUCUCCCUCUUUCUUUCUCUCAAAAGGAAAUCCCCAAAUUCCAAAAUCCCUAAAUCUGCCCCCUCCCAUCUCCUUCUCUUGGCUGGACGGUCAACGGCAAAGGCCCGCCACCGCCGCCGACUCCAUCUCGUCUCCCCUCCUCGCUUUCUACUCGCGGUGAGCAGUUACGCGGGCGACAACAGUAGUAACCGCGCCGCCGUGGCGACCACAGCAGCACCGCUGCCUUCGCUUCUCCCUCUCGCUGGGUCAACCGGCAACGGGCUGCCGUUGUCGUUUCCCUUUUUCUCGAUCGGCGAACAACAGCAUCUAACAAGUCGCUGCCGCCAUCUCCGAUUCCCCCUCCCCUGACUCGUCUCCAUUCCCACAACAACACACUCAUGAAAAACAGAUAAGUUCGAUUAAUCUGUAGUCAUUACGUGCACUUGUUUCAAUUCUAUUUACUCUCUAUGACAAUCAUAUAUACAAGAUUCGAUUGUUAUUCGCAUAUGUAAAUUAUCUCUUAUGGGUAAACUGGAGAAUGGUUAUGAAGUAUGCUUUGGCGUAUGAAUAUGAGUAUGUUUGAGAAUGGAAGUGAACUGGAGGCAAACCUUUAUGAGAAUUCUGCUAUGAUGUGAAUCUGCAGGGGAAAAAAANUGUAUUGUAAUCAAGAGCUUUUAUUGAUAACAAGAGGUAAGAUUAUAAAAUCUUGAUAUAAGUGAAAGAUUGGACCUUUAAAGAGGAUUACAACUCUCUUUGCUAUUUUGCAGGAGGUAGCAGAUUUGAGCUGUGAUGAAUUGGUUCGAUAUUUUGCAGAUAUGAGUUGUGUGUUGGGUGAAGAGUUAAGCUGCUUUGUGCGUGAUCGAAUGGGCGAGAAUGGCUGAAAUUUAUAGAGGAAAUUGGCAGGAAGAAGAAGACGUGGAAGACCCAUUUCCAUUGAAUUAAUAGAAGAAGAUAUGUAUCAAUUUCCAUCCAAGUUUCUGCAUUUCUCACCUUAUAAAUAUGUGUAACUGUAGCAAACUCUGCUGCUCAAGUGACUGUUUUCAAUACUUAUGCUUCUUGUAAAAUAUAUAUAUAUAUGCCUCUAAAACGUAGCAAUAGGAUAUGUAUCUGCUUCGGCUGGCUUGAUUGAAAGAAUCGGGCCUUAUAAACAAAAAUAAAUAAAUCCAG
rnacentral:lncRNA from 1 species